GGUUAAGCGACUAAGCGUACACGGUGGAUGCCCUGGCAGUCAGAGGCGAUGAAGGACGUGCUAAUCUGCGAAAAGCGUCGGUAAGGUGAUAUGAACCGUUAUAGCCGGCGAUGUCCGAAUGGGGAAACCCAGUGCAAUUCGUUGCACUAUCGUUAACUGAAUACAUAGGUUAACGAGGCGAACCGGGGGAACUGAAACAUCUAAGUACCCCGAGGAAAAGAAAUCAACCGAGAUUCCCCCAGUAGCGGCGAGCGAACGGGGAGCAGCCCAGAGUCUGAAUCAGCUUGUGUGUUAGUGGAACGGUCUGGAAAGUCCGACGGUACAGGGUGAUAGUCCCGUACACCAAAAUGCACAGGUUGUGAACUCGAAGAGUAGGGCGGGACACGUGGUAUCCUGUCUGAAUAUGGGGGGACCAUCCUCCAAGGCUAAAUACUCCUGACUGACCGAUAGUGAACCAGUACCGUGAGGGAAAGGCGAAAAGAACCCCGGCGAGGGGAGUGAAAAAGAACCUGAAACCGUGUACGUACAAGCAGUGGGAGCACCUUCGGGUGUGACUGCGUACCUUUUGUAUAAUGGGUCAGCGACUUAUAUUCUGUAGCAAGGUUAACCGUAUAGGGGAGCCGCAGGGAAACCGAGUCUUAACUGGGCGUUAAGUUGCAGGGUAUAGACCCGAAACCCGGUGAUCUAGCCAUGGGCAGGUUGAAGGUUGGGUAACACUAACUGGAGGACCGAACCGACUAAUGUUGAAAAAUUAGCGGAUGACUUGUGGCUGGGGGUGAAAGGCCAAUCAAACCGGGAGAUAGCUGGUUCUCCCCGAAAGCUAUUUAGGUAGCGCCUCGUGAAUUCAUCUUCGGGGGUAGAGCACUGUUUCGGCUAGGGGGUCAUCCCGACUUACCAACCCGAUGCAAACUACGAAUACCGAAGAAUGUUAUCACGGGAGACACACGGCGGGUGCUAACGUCCGUCGUGAAGAGGGAAACAACCCAGACCGCCAGCUAAGGUCCCAAAGUCAUGGUUAAGUGGGAAACGAUGUGGGAAGGCACAGACAGCCAGGAUGUUGGCUUAGAAGCAGCCAUCAUUUAAAGAAAGCGUAAUAGCUCACUGGUCGAGUCGGCCUGCGCGGAAGAUGUAACGGGGCUAAACCAUGCACCGAAGCUGCGGCAGCGACACUAUGUGUUGUUGGGUAGGGGAGCGUUCUGUAAGCCUGCGAAGGUGUGCUGUGAGGCAUGCUGGAGGUAUCAGAAGUGCGAAUGCUGACAUAAGUAACGAUAAAGCGGGUGAAAAGCCCGCUCGCCGGAAGACCAAGGGUUCCUGUCCAACGUUAAUCGGGGCAGGGUGAGUCGACCCCUAAGGCGAGGCCGAAAGGCGUAGUCGAUGGGAAACAGGUUAAUAUUCCUGUACUUGGUGUUACUGCGAAGGGGGGACGGAGAAGGCUAUGUUAGCCGGGCGACGGUUGUCCCGGUUUAAGCAUGUAGGCUGGUUGUCCAGGCAAAUCCGGAUAAUCAAGGCUGAGGUGUGAUGACGAGGCACUACGGUGCUGAAGUAACAAAUGCCCUGCUUCCAGGAAAAGCCUCUAAGCAUCAGGUAACAU
rnacentral:rRNA from 1 species